rnacentral:sRNA from 1 species
AACAUCCUCCUGGAUUCAAUCAUGGCUUGUGGUCUGGUCGCCAGCAACCUGAAUCUCAAACCUGGAGAGUGCCUUCGAGUGCGAGGCGAGGUGGCCCCUGACGCUAAGAGUUAGGUGACCUUGGACCAGUCAACCAACCUCACCUAGCCUCAGUUUGUUAGAAAAACAAGGGGGGAGGUGGUUGU